UACGUAGGCAGCGAGCGUUGUUCGGAAUUACUGGGCGUAAAGAGUGUGUAGGCGGUGCUCCAAGUCUGUCGUGAAAUCUCCCGGCUCAACUGGGGGGGUGCGGCGGAAACUAGAGUGCUUGAGUGUGGGAGAGGUAAGCGGAAUUCAUGGUGUAGCGGUGAAAUGCGUAGAUAUGAGGAGGAACACCUGCGGUGUAGACAGCUUACUGGACCACGACUGGCGCUGAGACACGAAAGCGUGGGUAGCAAACAGG
rnacentral:rRNA from 1 species